rnacentral:rRNA from 1 species
AUGUCGCUCCUAAGGCUGCCGUCAGGGGGAGGAAGAGGAGAAGCCCGUCCAAGAUACAAACUCUCCGCAGUCCCGACCCCGAUAGGUGGCGAUGUGCCGCCGCUGGAGAUCCGCGGUAGCUACUUCUCCUCGCUAUCUUAUUGGAUGGCGUUCGAGGCUACGAGAGUCAACUCGCCACCGCCUAUGGAGCUUCGGCGUCGCGAGUAUGUUACCCCACCCGAUUUCCGACGAGCCUUCCCAACAUACUCCCCUAGGUCUGGCAGCUCCGGCCUCUAUGGAUGCCAUCACAGACUCAUGGUGCCAACCGGUUCCAGCUCCACGUCCAAACACGUGAGCAUCAAGUGA